rnacentral:rRNA from 1 species
GGCUACACACGUGCUACAAUGGGUAGUACAGAGAGUCGCAAACCUGCGAGGGGGAGCUAAUCUCAGAAAACUAUUCUUAGUUCGGAUUGUACUCUGCAACUCGAGUACAUGAAGUUGGAAUCGCUAGUAAUCGCAAAUCAGCUAUGUUGCGGUGAAUACGUUCUCGGGUCUUGUACACACCGCCCGUCACACCACGAGAGUUGGUUGCACCUGAAGUAGCAGGCCUAACCGCAAGGAGGGAUGCUCCGAGGGUGUGAUUAGCGAUUGGGGUGAAGUCGUAACAAGGUAUCCGUACGGGAACGU